rnacentral:sRNA from 1 species
CUUUAGCCUUGAUCGAAGCAAUAUCUUUUUAUUUUUCCUUUAAAAAUAAAAAGAUAAAGCGUAAAGUAGGUUUCAUA